rnacentral:rRNA from 1 species
AUGGCUUCCUCAUGUACUGUAGUCUUGCCUGAAACAAGAUGGAGUAAAUCUGACCCAAGAUAUACUAAACUAAAUGUCGAUGCAGCAUUCUUUGCAGAUGAGGGGCUAGGUGCGACAUCGGCUGUGCUUCGAGAUGAUAGGGGGAACUUUGUUGCUGCGCAAUGUAAGUUCAUCCCAUAUGCGGCCGAUGCUAUUACCACUGAAGCAAUGUCUAUGAGAGAUGGUUUGGCAUUUGCAAAUUCUCUCGGUUUUAACCGGAUCGAGGCGGAAUCAUAUUCACUCGAAGCCAUUAACUUCUGUACUGGUCACACGAGAUGGUGGGAUGAAGCAGCAACUUUAUUUGCAGAGUGUGUGGAUAUAGGUACUAUGAUCGGGAAGGUCACUUUCAAGCAUUGUCUUCGCUCUUGUAAUCAAGUGGCUCACGUGCUAGCAAAUCAUAGCUAUUGUAAUAAGUCUUCUUUUAGUUGGUUAAACGAGCCCCCUGACAUUGUUGUCGGUAAGCUCGUAGACGAUGUA